rnacentral:misc_RNA from 1 species
GAUUGGAGGUCAUUUCAUUUCAAAUCAAAAUCACCAAGGGCAGGAAGAGAAAGGAUUUGGAAAUCUUAACACCACCAUCAUAUAAAUGACAUUGUUGAUUACAGGAAACUAAUGUGCCCAGGUGGACCAGGAUUGCACUCUAUCUACAAAAUACCAUCUCUUUAUCAUCUUGGGGCAUUGAAAGGUGGAAGAACCACAAUUUUUUUUUUUCAAUCUUUUCUAUAUUCUAUUGAAUUAACAAAGACAUUGGGAAAAAAAAAAUGAAAAAAUGCAUAUUAACAAUCAAAAUCCUUCAACACUAGCCCUUCGAACAGCUGAAGAUGAUGAUUUCUGGCUUUCCUGCCGUUCCAGUUCCUCGAAUGAGAGGGUUGAGGAACAGGCACGGGGAGGAAGAGACAUCGCAGACAAAGCAGGUGGUCUUGUGGGUGAAACAGAUGGCCGGGCUUUUGAUGGUGGUGAUGGUGAGAAACUUAACCUGGGUGCUGGGGUAACAAUCCCGUUAAGACUUGGUGACCUAGACAUCUGUUUUCCAGCAAC